rnacentral:rRNA from 1 species
GAGAUAUAUGGAGCUUGCUUUAUAUAACUUAGCAGCGAACGGGUGAGUAACACGUAGAUAAUCUAUCCUAUACUGGGGGAUAGCCCGAUGAAAGUUGGAUUAAUACCGCAUAUAGCUAUAUAGUUGCAUGAUUAUGUAGUGAAAGAUUUAUUGGUAUAGGAGGAGUCUGCGGCACAUUAGCUAGUAGGUGAGGUAAAGGCUUACCUAGGCGACGAUGUGUAGCCGGUCUGAGAGGAUGAACGGCCACAAUGGAACUGAGACACGGUCCAUACUCCUACGGGAGGCAGCAGUGGGGAAUAUUGCACAAUGGGGGAAACCCUGAUGCAGCAACGCCGCGUGAGUGAAGAAGGUUUUCGGAUUGUAAAGCUCUGUUAGCAGGGAAGAGGAAGGACGGUACCUGCAGAGGAAGCCACGGCUAACUACGUGCCAGCAGCCGCGGUAAUACGUAGGUGGCAAGCGUUGUUCGGAAUAACUGGGCGUAAAGGAUGCGUAGGCGGUUAAACAAGUUAUAUGUUAAAUAUAUAGGCUUAACCUGUAGAAAGCAUAUAAAACUGUUUAACUAGAGUGCAGGAGAGGUAAGUGGAAUUCCUAGUGUAGCGGUGAAAUGCGUAGAGAUUAGGAAGAACACCAGUGGCGAAGGCGACUUACUGGACUGUAACUGACGCUGAGGCAUGAGAGCAUGGGGAGCAAACAGGAUUAGAUACCCUGGUAGUCCAUGCUGUAAACGAUGGGUACUAGGUGUGGGUUGUGA